rnacentral:lncRNA from 1 species
UCACUCUGGCUGAAUCCCUCACAGAUACCGGACCUUCUGUAAGUCUGUCCUCACCCUGGGGCCUAAUUCCUCCAGGCUAGCAGGAGGAUGGGCCUUGGGACUGUGGCCUCAGGCUCUGGGAUCCCCACAUUGAUGCUGAGGAGGGGGAUGUCAAGGGUGGACUCCUGGGUCAUGGGGCCAGGAGGGAACUCUCCGGGAUGGGCAGGCCGGGAGGCAGAGGGGGCAGCCCUGGCCCUGAGGGCUUCCUCUCCUGCCUAACUCCCACACCAGGCUCAGGCUUCUGUCAGAGGGCCCACUGCUUUCCCAGAUUACAACACUGGACAGUUCAGUCCCAGACCCACUGUCUUUAUCCAAUGGCUCUAACAGGAGAGGCAAAUCAGGACACAAUAUGCCAACAGGAAACGCCUGCAUCCAUAGCACAGGGAGGGUUUCCCCGGACAGAGCUGGGAGGCGAGGCAACUCUAGCAGAAUUGCGGGAACAGUAGAGCCCCUGGCCAGGGUCGGUACCUGUUCUCCUGAUGGCCACCCCGGAUUUCAGAUAUCGCUGUAGUUUCUGCAGGCAGUCUGCCUGCAUAGCGCGAUAGUGUGUCUUGGUCUUCAUGGCAUCUUCCUUCCAGAAAUUUGUGACGUUCAUAGCCAAGGUCUGAGCUCUGGAGGACUGGGGCACUGUCGAUUCUUGAGUCUCCAGGUUUUGGGAGAGGAAGAGCUCCCCAUCGUAGUAGAAAUGCCGGGAGCCCCUGGUGCUGCUGUCUUCAUGGAUCUCACAGACCCUAAUCUCCUGGAGGGAAUGCAAGCCUGCCCCCACCCAGCAGUGACUUCUCCAUUCCCGAACCCAUCACCUUUCCACCCAAGUGAGGAACUCAGCCCAGCAGCGACCCCUCCCUGGCCCUCCUCCAUGCCCAAAAAAAGAAAACUACAGGCCUAUAUCCCUGAUGAACAUUGAGGCAAAUAUCAUCAAUGAAAUACUAGCAAACCACAUUCAACAGUAUAUUAAAAAGAUCAUUCUUCAUGACCAAGUGGAAUGUAUUCCAGGUAUGCAUACACAAAUCAAUCAAUGUAAUACAUCGUAUCAACAGAAUAAAGGACAAAAGCCAUAUCACCAUUUCAAUUGAUACUGAAAAAGCAUUUGAUAAGUUUAACAUCCCUUCAUGAUAAAAACUCUAAAAAAACUGAGUAUACAAGGAACAGACCUCAAUAUAACAAAAGCCAUAUAUGACAACUCACAGCUAGUAACAUACUGAAUGGGGGAAAACUGAAAGCCUUUUCUUUAAGAUCUGGAACAAGACAAGGAUGACUACUUUCACUACAGUUAUGCAACACAAUACUGCAAGUCCUAGCUAGAGCAAUCUGACAGGAGAAGGAAAUAAAGGGCAUCAAAAUUGGAAAAGAAGAAGUCAAAUUAUCCUUGUUUGCACAUCAUGUGGUCUGAUAUUUGGAAAACCUAAAGACUCCACCAAAAAACUAUUAGAACUGAAGAACAAAUUCAGUAAAGUUGCAGGAUACAAAAUCAACAUGCAAAAAACAAUAGCACUUCUAUGUGCUAACAGCAAAUAAUCUGAAAAAGAAAUCAAGAAACGAAUCCCAUUUUCAUUAGCUACAAAUAAAAUAAAAUACCUAGGAAUAGACUUAACUGAAGAAGUGAAAGAUCUCUCCAAUAAAAACUAUAAAGCACUGAUGCAAAACAUUGAAGAGGACACAAAAAAUGGAAAAGGCAUUCCAUGUUCACGGACUGGAAGAAUCAAUGUUUAUUUUUAUUUUCUGAGAUGGAGUUUUGCUCCUGUUGCC